GCAAUAGGCGUCACGGGUUCACCAGGAGGUGGGCUUGGAAGCAGCCAUCCUUUGAAGAAAGCGUAAUAGCUCACUGGUCUAGCUCCAUGGCACCAAAAAUGUAUCGGGGCUCAA
rnacentral:ncRNA from 1 species